rnacentral:rRNA from 1 species
AUUGAACGCUGGCGGCAUGCCUUACACAUGCAAGUCGAACGGUAACGGGCCUUCGGGUGCCGACGAGUGGCGAACGGGUGAGUAAUACAUCGGAACGUGCCCGAUCGUGGGGGAUAACGAGGCGAAAGCUUUGCUAAUACCGCAUACGAUCUACGGAUGAAGGCAGGGGACCGCAAGGCCUUGCGCGGACGGAGCGGCCGAUGGCAGAUUAGGUAGUUGGUGGGAUAAAAGCUUACCAAGCCGACGAUCUGUAGCUGGUCUGAGAGGAUGAUCAGCCACACUGGGACUGAGACACGGCCCAGACUCCUACGGGAGGCAGCAGUGGGGAAUUUUGGACAAUGGGCGCAAGCCUGAUCCAGCCAUGCCGCGUGCAGGAUGAAGGCCUUCGGGUUGUAAACCGCUUUUGUACGGAACGAAAAGCCUUCUUUUAAUACAGGAGGGUCAUGACGGUACCGUAAGAAUAAGCACCGGCUAACUACGUG